rnacentral:piRNA from 2 species
ACCAUGUGGUUGCUGGGAAUUGAACU